UGGGGAAUCUUGGACAAUGGGCGCAAGCCUGAUCCAGCCAUGCCGCGUGAGUGACGAAGGUCUUCGGAUUGUAAAGCUCUUUUGGCGGGGACGAUAAUGACGGUACCCGCAGAAUAAGCCCCGGCUAACUUCGUGCCAGCAGCCGCGGUAAUACGAAGGGGGCUAGCGUUGUUCGGAAUUACUGGGCGUAAAGCGCACGUAGGCGGAUCUAUAAGUCGGGGGUGAAAUCCCGGGGCUCAACCUCGGAACUGCCUUUGAUACUGUAGAUCUCGAGUCCGGAAGAGGUGAGUGGAAUUCCUAGUGUAGAGGUGAAAUUCGUAGAUAUUAGGAAGAACACCAGUGGCGAAGGCGGCUCACUGGUCCGGUACUGACGCUGAGGUGCGAAAGCGUGGGGAGCAAACAGGAUUAGAUACCCGUGUAGUCCCUGAGCGGGCUGGCAAGGCGCAU
rnacentral:rRNA from 1 species